UACCUGGUUGAUCCUGCCAGUAGUGUAUGCUUCUCCUAAAGACUAAGCCAUGCAUGUCUCCGAAUAGAAGAGCAAGUCUCUCUGAAUCUGCGAACGGCUCCGCAUACCAGUUGUAAACCAUAGCAAGCAAGCCGCGUUGUUGCCGCAAGGCGACGGCGCGGUUCACAGGGAUAACCCUGGUAAUUCUGAGGCUAAUACAAGAACGUACCACCCGCUUCGACCCGUAAGGGGAGGGCGGGGGUUGUGUGACCCAGGUCGCAAAUAUUAACUGGGAGUGGCCACACGAUCUGACCACCAUACCAAACGGUUAUCCGCUUCGAAAGCUUCGGUGAGUAACGGCGGAUUUCUGGGUGGCUCUCGCUGUGUGCUUCUGACCUAUCAACUAGAUGGCAGCGUAACGGACAUGCCAUGGUAACAACGGGUACAGAGGAUAAGGGUUCGAUCCUGGAGAGUGGGCCUGAGAGAUUGCUCACACUUCUAAGGAAGGCAGCAGGCGCGCAACGUUCCCAUUGGGCAAAGCUCGAGGGCGUUAGGGGACAUAUGAAUGCCUGCCUUAUGGUGGGCAAUUCAAAUGGGACUGUUUUAAACAUCCUAUCGAGUAACAAUUAGAGGACAAGUCUGGUGCCAGCACCCGCGGUAAUUCCAGCUCUAAUAGCAUACGUUAAAGUUGUUGCGGUUAAAACGCUCGUAGUCGGCUCCAGACCUUCAGAGCCUUGAUUCGGGACACUGGGUCAGCUGCUCUUCUCCAAGAGCGCGCCAACUACUGAUGAUAGGGGACGUCGGUCAAUCGUGCCCUGGGCUGUCUCCCCCCCGGGGGAGUCACAGGGUCGUUCAGCGGUCUUCGCGAUCGCGGUUCGGCUCGGCUCGGGGUACCAAUCACCAUGAUUAAACCGUAGUGACCAAAGCACGUCUUUAGACGGGCACGGCACAGCAUGGGACGAAACGCACCGGGCUCGCCUUUUUUUUGCGGGGGCGUGACUCGGUAAAAGCGAAAGGGAUGUUCGAGGGUGACCGAAUUGCUGGGCGAGUGGUGAAAUACGUUGACCCUAGCAAGUCGACCAAAGGCGUAAGCAGUCAUCAAGGGCAUUCCCGUUGAUCAAGAGCGAAAGUUAAGGGUUCGAAGACGAUCAGAUACCGUCGUAGUCUUAACUAUAAAUGAUGCAGACCAGGGAUAGGACAGUGUCCAUCUCGACUCUUCCGGACCUUGGAGAAAUCACGAGUCUAUGGGUUCUGGGGGGAGUAUGGUCGCAAGGCUGAAACUUAAAGGAAUUGACGGAAGGGCACACAAAGAGUGGAACCUGCGGCUUAAUUUGACUCAACACGGGAAAACUCACCAGGUCCGGAUACACGUAUGAAAGUCAAGCUGAAAGACUUUACUCAAUGAUGUAAGUGGUGGUGCAUGGUCGUUCUUAGUUCGUGGAUUGAUUUGUCUGGUUUAUUCCGAUAACGAGCGAGACCCCGGCGUUCCUAAUAGGGGUGGCAGCCAGACCGGUCGCAAGACAGGUUAGCUCGCCACCUGAAGUUAUGCUUCUUAGACGUAUCAGAGCCGAUAAGGUUCUUGAAAUGGGUUAAUAACAGGUCAGUCAUGCCCUUAGAUGUUCUGGGCCGCACGCGCGUUACAAUGGCAUGUAAAACGAGUGCUUGAACAAGGCGUCCCACGGCCGAAAGGUCGUGGUAACCCUUAGUCCCUGCUUUGACUGGGACAGAUCUUUGCAAUUAUUGGUCUCAAACGAGGAAUUUUUAGUAAUCGCAGGUCAUUAACCUGCGUUGAAUGCGUCCCUGCCCUUUGUACACACCGCCCGUCGCUGCUACCGAUUGGGUUUUACAGUUACGCGUUCGGAGGACGAUGUUUUCGGGUCUUAACGGGCUCCGGGGCGUCGGCCAAAGUUCUAACUACUGUACGGCCUAGAGGAAGCAGAAGUCGUAACAAGGUAAUCGUAGGUGAACCUGCGUUUGGAUCAUUA
rnacentral:rRNA from 14 species